UGGGGAAUAUUGCACAAUGGGCGCAAGCCUGAUGCAGCCAUGCCGCGUGUAUGAAGAAGGCCUUCGGGUUGUAAAGUACUUUCAGCGGGGAGGAAGGCGAUGCGGUUAAUAACCGCGUCGAUUGACGUUACCCGCAGAAGAAGCACCGGCUAACUCCGUGCCAGCAGCCGCGGUAAUACGGAGGGUGCAAGAGUUAAUCGGAAUUACUGGGCGUAAAGCGCACGCAGGCGGUCUGUCAAGUCGGAUGUGAAAUCCCCGGGCUCAACCUGGGAACUGCAUCCGAAACUGGCAGGCUUGAGUCUCGUAGAGGGGGGUAGAAUUCCAGGUGUAGCGGUGAAAUGCGUAGAGAUCUGGAGGAAUACCGGUGGCGAAGGCGGCCUCCUGGACGAAGACUGACGCUCAGGUGCGAAAGCGUGGGGAGCAAACA
rnacentral:rRNA from 1 species